rnacentral:rRNA from 1 species
AACGAACGCUGGCGGCAGGCUUAACACAUGCAAGUCGAGCGCCCCGCAAGGGGAGCGGCAGACGGGUGAGUAACGCGUGGGAACGUACCCUUUGCUACGGAAUAGCUCCGGGAAACUGGAAUUAAUACCGUAUGUGCCCUACGGGGGAAAGAUUUAUCGGCAAAGGAUCGGCCCGCGUUGGAUUAGCUAGUUGGUGGGGUAAUGGCCUACCAAGGCGACGAUCCAUAGCUGGUCUGAGAGGAUGAUCAGCCACAUUGGGACUGAGACACGGCCCAAACUUCUACGGGAGGCGGCAGUGGGGAAUAUUGGACACUGGGCGCAAGCCUGAUGCAGCCAUGCCGCGUGAGUGAUGAAGGCCUUAGGGUUGUAAAGCUCUUUCACCGGAGAAGAUAAUGACGGUAUCCGGAGAAGAAGCCCCGGCUAACUUCGUGCCAGCCGCCGCAGUAAUAC